CAGUAACCGCGGUAAUACAGAGGGUGCGAGCGUUAAUCGGAUUUACUGGGCGUAAAGCGUGCGUAGGCGGCUUCUUAAGUCGGAUGUGAAAUCCCUGAGCUUAACUUAGGAAUUGCAUUCGAUACUGGGAAGCUAGAGUAUGGGAGAGGAUGGUAGAAUUCCAGGUGUAGCGGUGAAAUGCGUAGAGAUCUGGAGGAAUACCGAUGGCGAAGGCAGCCAUCUGGCCUAAUACUGACGCUGAGGUACGAAAGCAUGGGGAGCAAACAGGAUUAGAGACCCGCGUAGUCCCUGUCUCUUAUAC
rnacentral:rRNA from 1 species